UACGUAGGGUGCAGGGCGUUUAAUCGGAAUUACUGGGCGUAAAGCGUGCGCAGGCGGUUAUGUAAGACAGAUGUGAAAUGCCCGGGCUUAACCUGGGAACUGCAUUUGUGACUGCAUGGCUAGAGUUUGGCAGAGGGGGGUAGAAUUCCACGUGUAGCAGUGAAAUGCGUAGAUAUGUGGAGGAACACCGAUGGCGAAGGCAGCCCCCUGGGUCAAGACUGACGCUCAUGCAC
rnacentral:rRNA from 1 species